GGACAGGACAAGGAGCUUUUUGCCCUUAACACUCCUGACUUUGCUGCUGAGGUUCCAGGCCAGCUGUAUGACGGUGCUGUCCCCAGGGAAGAAAAGUUCCUCCUGCUGCACUGGCUGUUGGUGACCUGGCAGGGGACAUGGAGCUACUGGCUGUCACAGCACCAGAGGAGGCAGGGAAGGAUGCAACAGCAUUACAAGCUGAGGUGGAAGGAGCAGAAAAAGCAGCUGCAAUGCCAGAGGCAGAAAGCCUAGUGGGAGCAGGUUUGGGUGGGAAGGUGAUCACUCCUGAAGGAGCAGUAGCGAUUGUGGUGAGAGCAUUGGAAAACCCAGUGGCAGAAAGGGUUGCUGAAGCAUUUGCCAGAGCAGCAGAAAGAAUUGCAGUAUCAGAAGCAGCCAAGGUGUUGCAGUCAACAAUAGCUGAGCUCAAAGGGAAGAGGAAGAACAUGUGGAUAAAGCCAAGGAACACUAUUCGGUGGGAAGAGGAUUGGAUGAAAGAGAGGUGAAAUAAAAUAGAGAUGUUCUGGGUCAUACCUCCUA